rnacentral:rRNA from 1 species
UUGACCUCGGAUCAGGUAGGGAUACCCGCUGAACUUAAGCAUAUCAAUAAGCGGAGGAAAAGAAACCAACCGGGAUUGCCCUAGUAACGGCGAGUGAAGCGGCAAGAGCUCAAAUUUGAAAGCUGGCUCCUUCGGGGUCCGCAUUGUAAUUUGCAGAGGAUGCUUCGGAAUCGGCCCCCAUCUAAGUGCCCUGGAACGGGCCGUCAUAGAGGGUGAGAAUCCCGUCUGGGAUGGGGUGUCCGUGCCCGUGUGAAGCUCCUUCGACGAGUCGAGUUGUUUGGGAAUGCAGCUCUAAUUGGGUGGUAAAUUUCAUCUAAAGCUAAAUAUUGGCCGGAGACCGAUAGCGCACAAGUAGAGUGAUCGAAAGAUGAAAAGCACUUUGAAAAGAGAGUUAAAAAGCACGUGAAAUUGUUGAAAGGGAAGCGCUUGCGACCAGACUCGCCCGCGGGGUUCAGCCGGCAUUCGUGCCGGUGUACUUCCCCGCGGGCGGGCCAGCGUCGGUUUGGGCGGCCGGUCAAAGGCCCCUGGAAUGUAACGCCUCUCGGGGCGUCUUAUAGCCAGGGGUGCCAUGCGGCCUGCCCGGACCGAGGAACGCGCUUCGGCUCGGACGCUGGCAUAAUGGUCGUAAGCGACC